CACAUGCUCGCAAUCCACUUUCCAGCAGUCGGUCCUUCUCAAGAGAAGCUCUACUGUCUUCCCUGCAGCUUUACCAUCUCCUGCGCACAUCAUUCACCAUUAAGAACUUUUUGUUUAUGCCCCCCCUCUUUUUGUUUUUACCCUCAGCGUCAUUUGCGGGCUGAAAACUGAGGUCGGUAACUAGGAGAGGAUUCUUUCUACGGUGACUGCAAACAAAACCCUGAUCCACCACCCUGGUCCUGGCUGAAAAGAACUGUAGGAAAGGAGUCCUGGGUGUUUCUGCAGGACACUGGGGCGUUACUAUCCCCACACUGCAAACAGAAGAUGGUAUUUUUUCAGCCGGUUUUGCUUCGUUCACUGAUUUAAGUCGUGUUUCAAUCCGGUUGAGAUUGGACGUAGCAGGGUGCUGGAAACGGCAGGGAAUUGCAAGUCCUUCCCCAAUCGAUCUGCGGUUGUUCCUAGUGAGGCUAACAGAAAUGAAGCCAAGCCCUACGUCCGGGAGAAGGGGCAAGAGUCACCGUAAGUACUUCGUGAUCCCACCAGGAACAGCAAUCCUCUUCUCGUCGCCAAGCGUUUCUGAAUCCAACUUAUUCCUCAUCAGCGAGCUCUUCCCCAAACAAGACACCGCACAUCAGCCAUUUGGGAUCUCUUCCAUCCAUGUUGUAACGCGCUCUUCCGUGCAGUUUGUACUCACUGCAGCAUGUGCCGCCGCCAAGAGCAAGGCGUUGGUAAUCUGGGCACCCACAGUUGUGAUGAGGCAUCUUCAAUGCCGUCGUCCAAAUCAAAUAUUUGGCUGUGCUUCUUCAGAUGCGAUAUCUCAUAUUGUCACUGUGGUGCUGGCAGAGCGGGGAACUUGGGCAUGGAGGGAAGGGC
rnacentral:lncRNA from 14 species